UACGGGGGGGGGCAAGCGUUUGUUCGGAAUUACUGGGCGUAAAGGGCUCGUAGGUGGCCAACUAAGUCAGACGUGAAAUCCCUCAGCUUAACUGGGGGAACUGCGUCUGAUACUGGAUGGCUUGAGAUUGGGAGAGGGAUGCGGAAUUCCAGGUGUAGCGGUGAAAUGCGUAGAUAUCUGGAGGAACACCGGUGGCGAAGGCGGCAUCCUGGACCAACACUGACACUGAGGAGCGAAAGCCAGGGGAGCAAACGGG
rnacentral:rRNA from 1 species